rfam:Gossypium arboreum cultivar AKA8401 contig_48832_3, whole genome shotgun sequence.
AAUGAGAAAAUGACAAGUUAAAAUUUUUUUUCCUGAUUUUCAGUUUUUUCCUCCUGAAAAAAUUUAAAUUCAACUAAAAAUGCUAAAAAUCAGGAAAAAAAAUUUGAUUUAUCAUUCUCUCAUU